rnacentral:rRNA from 1 species
UACGUAGGCAGCAAGCGUUGUUCGGAGUUACUGGGCGUAAAGAGUGCGUAGGCGGUGCUCUAAGUUUGGUGUGAAUCUCCCGGCUCAACUGGGAGGGUGCGCCGAAAACUGGAGUGCUUGAGUAUGGGAGAGGCAAGCGGAAGUUCCUGGUGUAGCGGUGAAAUGCGUAGAUAUCAGGAGGAACACCUGUGGUGUGAGACAGCUUGCUGGACCAUCACUGACGCUGAGGCACGAAAGCGUGGGUAGCAAACAGG